rnacentral:lncRNA from 1 species
AGCAACACUCACUCUCACAAAGGAAGACUGCCAAUGGACGAGCAAGUAUGAGCAAGAGCUGGGAUUCUGUCUCUGGACAAGAGGCAGGUUCAGGCAGCGUGGGGGCCAAGCUCUCUCAGGAACCAUUCUUUUAACUGCCUCACCAAUAACAUGUGUCUCCCACACCUGAGAGGCUCUCCUUCCAGGUGUACCCAGUUCUCCAUGACUGCUGGACGGCUACAGGCAGCACCCAAAUGAGGGGCUUGGACACAGGGAGACCAACUGAGGGUCGCUGUCUUCAGUGGAACUCCACAAAAAAUGGUAGGAGUUAUGUAUCCCACACGGUGGAAUAAAGAACAGUGGGAAGGGGUAAUUCACUCGCCUCCAGGAGUGGCCCAGGAGGAGAGAGGCUACCUGAGGAGGAGAAGGAAACACAAAAGGCCCUCUUUGAUCUCCCUGUUGCCGAGAUGCCGCUGUGGAUGCUGAUGUUGUCCACGAACUAGAACGUCAGAGUUUUCAGGCUCUGCAGCGAAGACUGUGUACCAGGCUCAUUGCACCAUGCCCAUGAACCUCGUGUUUCCCUGUGAGUGUAGUAUUCCCAGAGCUGCAGCCCCUCAGCCCUCAGCAGAAAGAAGGCGCUGCAUGAUCAAAAGGAACCAAUGGAAAUCACAGUCAUCUCUGCCUGACCUUUGGAGCAGAUGGAGCGAUCUCUACAUUCUGGGGAGACUGGGGGAAUCAUGCUGGCUGUCCUAUUUUCAGAGUGACAGUUCAUGGAAGAACAGAAAGACAGAUGUUGAGGACCGUGUAGUCCUUCAGUUGUUAGGUUUCAGUGUGUGUGGAAGCAAAACCCGGGACUGACCCUUGAGUUUUACCUUAUCAGAUCCUAGCAUCUGUGUGUGGUGGAGUCCUUGGAAACAGAUGCCCCUCUCGAGGCCGGUGGAUGCGGUUCAGGGACCGCAUUCUUACAGUCACCAAGGCCAGAGAUUCCCACAAGGGGUGACCUGGCAGAGGCGCUGGACCAUCCUUGCUGCAGCCCUAAGUUCAAAGGCUGCUUGAGAAAUGCUUUAAGCUUUCAGGGUUCCUGGAAAAUUGCUUAAACACACCAGUCAUUUUGA